UGCGUCUACAGACUUCCUGUGGGUCACACAUCUGAUUCUGGAACAUUCUACUGUGCUGUGGCCUCAUAUGGUCAAUUACUGUUUGGGAAAGGAGUAACGCUCGAUAAGAAACAAACAGACUCAGUGGAUCCUGUGAAAGUUAGUUUGGCGGCAGCAUUGGCCUUAUGUAUUGCAAUAAUAAUCGUCCUGGCCAGCAUAAGUUGUAGAGGGAGAUCAUGUAAAGACUGUGAAGCACACCAUACUGCAGGACAUUACCCACUCAGGGCACAAUCAGCGGGUCAGGACCAUGAGGCGGAGGGACUUAACUACACUGCCCUGAGAUUCACAAAGGGGAACAGCAACAGUGGCAGAACAAAGAAACGACCACUUCAGGAGAGCACAUACUCUGAUGUUAGAUACUGUGUAAGGCUUGAGGAGAGCACCUACUCUGAUGUUAGAUAGCCUACUGUGUAAGGCUUCAGGAGAGCACCUACUCUGAUGGUAGAUAGCCUACUGUGUAAGGCUUCAGGAGAGCACCUACUCUGAUGGUAGAUCCUCUAGGCCCUAAAUACUGUAUGUGACAGAUGAUUGUGAGAUGAUAAUCUUAUGAUACCAUUAAUAAAACAUCUGAUGUCAUUAUCAUCUAGGACCUGUCUUGAUGUAAAAUAUUAACA